rnacentral:rRNA from 1 species
UACGGAGGGGGCUAGCGUUGUUCGGAAUUACUGGGCGUAAAGCGCACGUAGGCGGCUUUGUAAGUCAGAGGUGAAAUCCCGGGGCUCAACCUCGGAACUGCCUUUGAUACUGCAAGUCUUGAGUCCGAUAGAGGUGAGUGGAAUUCCUAGUGUAGAGGUGAAAUUCGUAGAUAUUAGGAAGAACACCAGUGGCGAAGGCGGCUCACUGGAUCGGUACUGACGCUGAGGUGCGAAAGCGUGGGGAGCAAACAGG